CCCUUAGAUGUUCUGGGCCGCACGCGCGCUACACUGACGAUGGCAACGAGUUUUUCCUUCGCCGAAAGGUGUGGGUAAUCUUUUGAAACAUCGUAGUGCUGGGGAUAGAUCAUUGCAAUUUUUGAUCUUGAACGAGGAAUUCCUAGUAAGCGCGAGUCAUCAGCUCGCGUUGAUUACGUCCCUGCCCUUUGUACACACCGCCCGUCGCUACUACCGAUUGAAUGGUUUAGUGAGGACUCCUGAUUGGCGCCGCCGCCCCGGCAACGGAGCAGCGGACUGCCGAAAAGUUGUUCAAACUUGAUCAUUUAGAGGAAGUAAAAGUCGUAACA
rnacentral:rRNA from 1 species